rnacentral:rRNA from 1 species
CAGCCGCCGCGGUAAUACGAAGGGUGCAAGCGUUAAUCGGAAUUACUGGGCGUAAAGCGUGCGUAGGCGGUGAGUUAAGUCUGCUGUGAAAUCCCCGGGCUCAACCUGGGAAUGGCAGUGGAUACUGGCUCGCUAGAGUGUGUCAGAGGAUGGUGGAAUUCCCGGUGUAGCGGUGAAAUGCGUAGAGAUCGGGAGGAACAUCAGUGGCGAAGGCGACACACUGGCCCGUUACUGACGCUGAUGCGCGAAGGCGUGGGGAGCAAACAGGAUUAGAUACCCGCGUAGUCCCUGUCUCUUAUAA